AUUGAACGCUGGCGGCAGGCCUAACACAUGCAAGUCGAGCGGAAACGAAGGGAGCUUGCUCCCAGGCGUCGAGCGGCGGACGGGUGAGUAACACGUGAGAAUCUGCCCAUUAGUGGGGGACAACUCGGGGAAACUCGAGCUAAUACCGCAUAAUCCCUACGGGGGAAAGCAGGGGACCUUUUGGCCUUGCGCUGAUGGAUGAGCUCACGUCGGAUUAGCUUGUUGGUGAGGUAAAGGCUCACCAAGGCGACGAUCCGUAGCUGGUCUGAGAGGAUGAUCAGCCACACUGGGACUGAGACACGGCCCAGACUCCUACGGGAGGCAGCAGUGGGGAAUCUUGGACAAUGGGGGCAACCCUGAUCCAGCCAUGCCGCGUGCAGGAAGAAAGCCCUAUGGGUUGUAAACUGCUUUUAUUCACGAGGAAUAAAUCUCUUGCGAGGGAUUUUGACGUUAGUGUUUGAAUAAGCACCGGCUAACUCCGUGCCAGCCGCCGCCGUAACAC
rnacentral:rRNA from 1 species